GGAGGGAAGUGAAGGGAAUGAGCGGCGGACGGGUGAGUAACACGUAAGGAACCUGCCCCAAGGAUUGGGAUAACUCCGAGAAAUCGGAGCUAAUACCGAAUAGUUCUUCAAACCGCAUGGUCUGAUGAUGAAAGGCGCUCCGGCGUCACCUUGGGAUGGCCUUGCGGUGCAUUAGCUAGUUGGUGGGGUAAUGGCCCACCAAGGCGACGAUGCAUAGCCGACCUGAGAGGGUGAUCGGCCACACUGGGACUGAAACACGGCCCAAACUCCUACGGGAGGCAGCAGUAGGGAAUCUUCCACAAUGGACGAAAGUCUGAUGGAGCAACGCCGCGUGAGUGAUGAAGGUUUUCGGAUCGUAAAACUCUGUUGUAAGGGAAGAACAAGUACGAGAGGAAAUGCUCGUACCUUGACGGUACCUUGCGAGAAAGCCACGGCUAACU
rnacentral:rRNA from 1 species